rnacentral:lncRNA from 1 species
GGAAGGCAGAGGUUGCAGUAAGCCCAAAGUUUUUGGGCAGGUGUAAAAGUGUGUUUUGCUGGGGUCUUAAAUUUUUAUCAGAUCUGUUACUCUAAAACAAUUUAAGAACCCCAUAGUGGGUGCACACUAGAACUUUACUUCAUGCAUCUGCUGUCCUGUUCAGUAUCCUCAUCCUGCCCAUUCAGUCGAAAGCACAGUGGCUAGCAGAAUGUGAACAAGUGAGGCAUCUCUGCCCAGAGCUCUGGUAUUCUCUGUAGAACCUCAGGAAGUUGUGCUCGCCGGCCUAAGUCCAUGCCCCACAUUGCAGAUUCUGCCUCAAGCGUUGACCUCC